rnacentral:rRNA from 1 species
CCCAGUUCGGAUUGUAGUCUGNAACCCGACUACAUGAAGCUGGAAUCGCUAGUAAUCGCGGAUCAGAAUGCCGCGGUGAAUACGUUCCCGGGUCUUGUACACACCGCCCGUCACACCAUGGGAGUCGGAAAUGCCCGAAGUCUGUGACCUAACCGCAAGGGAGGAGCAGCCGAAGGCAGGUCGGAUGACUGGGGUGAAGUCGUAACAAGGUAGC